AACCUCCCUCAAUCACUUGACACAUAGGUAUUUCAAUAGGGUACCUCCCACUGUUGCAGCUUCCUUCCUUUAAUCUAGUAGGGGAGAGAGUCUACAGACAAGAGGAAUGUUACAUUAUAUUAAUAUAAUCACAGAAGUGACAUCCUGUCCCUUUUGUUGUAUUCCAUUUAUUAGAAUUGAGUUACAGCUCUCUCUCAUAGUCGAAGGAAGGGAUUUAUACAAGAGCUUGAAUACUAUACCUCCUGGCACACAGGGCUACCCUACAAUGGAUCCACCACAACUUCAUGAUCCAAAUGUUAAGGGAAUAUGAAUACAGAGAUUAUGACAUCACUUCUUUAUGAUCAAUGCUUGAAUUGAAUAUCCAGUGUCAAUUAUUUUUGGAAGAAUUGUAGUGAGACACAGUUGUGAGACUCCUUUGUAUCCUCACUGGUACUCCUUUCAUACCAAAUAUUCUGGUUUAGAACUUAUUCUCACAUAUCUUCUGACCUAAAAAAAAAUUGCUGCUUAAUCCGUUACUCACACAUUUUUAAUGACAGUGGUGUCAACAAAUCUCCUUUACUGCCCAUCAUAGAACGCUGUGUGCAGUGGCUCAUACUUGUAAUUCUAGCACUUUUGGAGGCCAAGGCAGGAGGAUCACUUGAGGCUAGGAGUUCAAGACCAGUCUGGGCAACACAGACCAUCUACACACACACAAAAAAAGAUUAAAAUUAGCCAAGUGUGAUGGUGCUUGCGUGUAGUCCCAGCUUCUCAGAGGCUGAAGUGGGAGGAUUGUUUGAGCCAGGGACUUCAAGACUGCAAUCAGCUAUGACUGUGCCACAGCACUCCAACCUGGGCAACAGAGCGAGUCUCCGUGAUCAAAAUGAAAAUAAUAAAAGUUUGUGUUGUGUUUUAUCUCAAGAGAACUCUCCUGUGGAUGAUUUGGUUUUUCUGAAGGCCAACUUCACAAGGCAAGUCCACAGCUAACCCCUCUAAUAGAAAUAUGAUGUUCUCUCUAGCAUUUGGUGUCAUUACCAAGAUUAUUGAUAGUACUUUUGUCUAAAAGUCACAACCUCUGAAACUAAUAAGAAAGAAGGCAGAAGCCAGAUUACAGGACAGAACUGCUACCCCACAAAUCAGUACGUAGGUGUGACAGUUAAUUCAGUUGGUGUAAUGAAUUGUAUCUACUCAUCAGGCUACAUUUAGAACUUAUGAUAUACACUAACCAAAUGGAGAGCAAAAAUAAAUAAAUAAAAAGCAGAAGUUGCA
rnacentral:lncRNA from 13 species